UUUUAUGGGGUGACUGCGUACCUUUUGUAUAAUGGGUCAGCGACUUAUAUUCUGUAGCAAGGUUAACCGAAUAGGGGAGCCGAAGGGAAACCGAGUCUUAACCGGGCGUUAAGUUGCAGGGUAUAGACCCGAAACCCGGUGAUCUAGCCAUGGGCAGGUUGAAGGUUGGGUAACACUAACUGGAGGACCGAACCGACUAAUGUUGAAAAAUUAGCGGAUGACUUGUGGCUGGGGGUGAAAGGCCAAUCAAACCGGGAGAUAGCUGGUUCUCCCCGAAAGCUAUUUAGGUAGCGCCUCGUGAAUUCAUCUCCGGGGGUAGAGCACUGUUUCGGCAAGGGGGUCAUCCCGACUUACCAACCCGAUGCAAACUGCGAAUACCGGAGAAUGUUAUCACGGGAGACACACGGCGGGUGCUAACGUCCGUCGUGAAGAGGGAAACAACCCAGACCGCCAGCUAAGGUCCCAAAGUCAUGGUUAAGUGGGAAACGAUGUGGGAAGGCCCAGACAGCCAGGAUGUUGGCUUAGAAGCAGCCAUCAUUUAAAGAAAGCGUAAUAGCUCACUGGUCGAGUCGGCCUGCGCGGAAGAUGUAACGGGGCUAAACCAUGCACCGAAGCUGCGGCAGCGACACUGUGUGUUGUUGGGUAGGGGAGCGU
rnacentral:rRNA from 1 species